ACUGCUCAGUAACACGUGGACAACCUGCCCUUAGGUUGGGUAUAAACCCGGGAAACUGGGUAUAAUACCCGAUAGGUCUCGAUUGCUGGAAUGCAUCGAGAUUUAAAGCUCCGGCGCCUAAGGAUGGGUCUGCGGCCUAUCAGGUAGUAGUGGGUGUAGCGUACCUACUAGCCUACGACGGGUACGGGUUGUGAGAGCAAGAGCCCGGAGAUGGAUUCUGAGACACGAAUCCAGGCCCUACGGGGUGCAGCAGGCGCGAAAACUUUACAAUGCUGGCAACAGCGAUAAGGGAACCUCGAGUGCCAGGUUACAAAUCUGGCUGUCGAGAUGCCUAAAAAGCAUUUCAUAGCAAGGGCCGGGCAAGACCGGUGCCAGCCGCCGCGGUAACACCGGCGGCUCGAGUGGUAACCGUUAUUAUUGGGUCUAAAGGGUCUGUAGCCGGCCGGAUAAGUCUCUUGAGAAAUCUGGCAGCUUAACUGUCAGGCUUUCAGGAGAUACUGUCUGGCUCGAGGCCGGGAGAGGUGAGAGGUACUUCAGGGGUAGGGGUGAAAUCUUGUAAUCCUUGAAGGACCACCAGUGGCGGAGGCGUCUCACCAGAACGGACCUGACGGCAAGGGACGAAAGCUAGGGGCACGAACCGGAUUAGAUACCCGGGUAGUCCUAGCCGUAAACGAUACUCGCUAGGUGUCGGCCACGGUGCGACCGUUGUCGGUGCCGUAGGGAAGCCGUGAAGCGAGCCACCUGGGAAGUACGGCCGCAAGGCUGAACUUAAAGGAAUUGGCGGGGGAGCAC
rnacentral:rRNA from 1 species